UCCUGUGCCCCGCAGCGGAAG
rnacentral:misc_RNA from 1 species